ensembl:snRNA U6 U6 spliceosomal RNA
GUGCUUGCUUCAGCAGCACAUAUACUAAAACUGGAAUACAGAGAAGAUUGGCAUGGUCCCUGCACAAGUAUGACAUGCAAAUUCAUGAAACGUUCCACAAAACA